GCUGCAUUAUAAAGACAUACAUCUGAAUAGAAUAACCAUCAACAGUAUUUAAUUGCUUAAAGCCCGCACGCCCAGAGGAAUAAGGAGUUUGUUCCUGUCCCAACAAGGAGUUUAGCUGGUGUGGUACUGCAGAGAGAAGGAAGGAAAGGGUACUUAGUUGCCUACAGAGACAGACGUUUUUAGAUUAGCAGAAUUUCAGAAGCUAAGCUUUCAGGAUCUGAGACUGUCUGUCAGUGAGAAAUAUUUAUUCAAAGAUGUCCAAAAAUUCAAGGGGGUGGGUUUUGUUGCUUAGUUGUGCAGAGGUUACCCAUUUUUUGAGAGUC
rnacentral:lncRNA from 1 species